rnacentral:rRNA from 1 species
CGAACGGGUGAGUAACACGUGAGUAACCUGCCCCAGACUCUGGAAUAACCCCGGGAAACCGGAGCUAAUACCGGAUAUGACACCAACCUGCAUGGGUAUGGUGUGGAAAGUUUUUCGGUCUGGGAUGGACUCGCGGCCUAUCAGCUUGUUGGUGAGGUAAUGGCUCACCAAGGCGACGACGGGUAGCCGGCCUGAGAGGGCGACCGGCCACACUGGGACUGAGACACGGCCCAGACUCCUACGGGAGGCAGCAGUGGGGAAUAUUGCACAAUGGGCGAAAGCCUGAUGCAGCGACGCCGCGUGAGGGAUGACGGCCUUCGGGUUGUAAACCUCUUUCAGCAGGGAAGAAGCGCAAGUGACGGUACCUGCAGAAGAAGCACCGGCUAACUACGUGCCAGCAGCCGCGGUAAUACGUAGGGUGCGAGCGUUGUCCGGAAUUAUUGGGCGUAAAGAGCUUGUAGGCGGUUUGUCGCGUCUGCCGU